AAUGAACGCUGGCGGCGUGCCUAACACAUGCAAGUCGCGCGCGAAGGGGGGCAACCCCUGGAGAGCGGCGGACGGGUGAGUAACACGUGGGUAACUUGUCUGGGAACGUGGGAUAACCUGGGGAAACUCGGGCUAAUACCGCAUACGACCGCAGGUUUUCGGAUCUGCGAGGAAAGGUGGCCUCUGCUUGCAAGCUACCAUUCCCAGAGAGGCCCGCGCCUGAUUAGCUAGUUGGUGAGGUAACGGCUCACCAAGGCGACGAUCAGUAGCCGGCCUGAGAGGGCGAUCGGCCACACUGGAACUGAGACACGGUCCAGACUCCUACGGGAGGCAGCAGUGAGGAAUCUUGCGCAAUGGGCGAAAGCCUGACGCAGCAACGCCGCGUGGAGGAUGAAGGUCUUCGGAUUGUAAACUCCUGUCAGACGGGACGAACGGUUGCGGCCUAACACGCCGUAACCUUGACGGUACCGUCAGAGGAAGCCACGACUAACUCUGUGCCAGCCGCCGCAGUAAGAC
rnacentral:rRNA from 1 species